rnacentral:lncRNA from 1 species
UAAAUUUCAAAUGACGUAAACUUAAAUAGAGUUCCAAACCUGUCAAGUUUCAGCGGACCAAUAACAAAAUUAAAAGCAAAGAAGCUUAAAGAGUUACUUCAAAUUUUCACUCAAAAACAUGUGAAUGAUGGGCUGACCAAUUGUAAAAAGUUCAAAUAUAAACUUUUCGAACAGCUCAAAUUCAUAACUUUAAUUGGGUUUAAAUGAUUUGGGAUAAUUUGGGCUUGUUUGAGUCUUAUUGGUAAUGGGUGAAUAAACCUUGUGUAUGGGCUGGAUUAGUUGAGUUGUUUUAAAUAUUUUGGAUUAUUUUAUUUUAGUUUGAGUCAAACCCCAUAUAGUCAAG